rnacentral:snRNA from 1 species
GGAUGUGAGGGCGAUCUGGCUGCGACAUCUGUCACCCCAUUGAUCGCCAGGGUUGAUUCGGCUGAUCUGGCUGGCUAGGCGGGUGUCCCCUUCCUCCCUCACCGCUCCAUGUGCGUCCCUCCCGAAGCUGCGCGCUCGGUCGAAGAGGACGACCAUCCCCGAUAGAGGAGGACCGUUCUUCGGUCAAGGGUAUACGAGUAGCUGCGCUCCCCUGCUAGAACCUCCAAACAAGCUCUCAAGAAUUCUUUCUUGCUAAAAAAGGUUUGAAAUUCAUCUGAUGAGCAACCAUAGAGCUUAAAGGACUU